UUGGGGCCGCAGUCUGGCUCGCUACAAGAGAGCCAUUUAAUCUCGGGCCGUCUGCCUGUGAUCAAUCUCCCGCCUGUGUUACCGCAGCAUCGGCCAUUCCUCAUCAUUUGGAGAGCGAGCUAUUGACCGCGCCAGGAGAGCCUCCCGAGUGCAUCUAGCGCGACUGUACCGUCAAAAGUGCCCUUUGUUCCACUGACACAUCCUUAUACAUGGAAGCGCACAUGCUGCAUGUCAACAGCAGCUUUGAAUGAGCCGCCUUAUUGACAUCUACGGCUGUGAUCCGUUCUCCGUCAAUGCAGCCUUUGUUUGAAAUUCCUGCUUACCGGUCAAAUCACUAUCUGCUCCAGAGGAAACGUAUAGGCUGGCAAAAAAUUGGGGUUGACCAAGAAAUUGCGGAGAUAUGAUUUGAGAGCGCCUUGACAAAUGAAUUAAACAAGUGACCGGCGUCCUCAACUCACUUUCUGCCGCAUCAGCCAGAAUCAAGCCCCUCAACCCUCCUCGCGGUAGGAGGACUUCAUCCCCCACACUGCCUUGGGGCCAUGUCAGAUUUACAGUUAUCCAUGACAGGCUCUUAUCGGGGAUUUGGAGCGGAGACUUUGCAGAGUCAUCGAGAACAUUGGCGGGGAUCGUUUUUAUCCCUUGCUGGAGAAACAGUAAGAGGCCAAGCUUUCCAACCAAGAGGCAGACCCUGGUCUGAAUUGGGCAGAUAAGCCAUUGAUGGAGCGCCUGAUGGAUGGAGCCUGAUAGCUUGUGACUGUCAAAUAUCUACUAGAACAAGCCUCUGAGGGGGAGUCAAGUGCUCUUGUGCUACCGUGCACUGAAUCAUGGCUAAACGACACGAGGCGUUAAUCAGGAAGAGACGAAGCAGACAUCGGGCUAAGAGAAGAUUUUCCCGCAUGGGGCCCACGCUGAGGGGGAUGCCCGGCAGCAUUCUAUGGAUGGAGGUUUGCGACAUGCUUCAAAGUGACACAACUCUAACUUGGAUUUGCCUUGUGGCAUUGUGAAGAGAAAAAAACAACAUAACAUCUUUUCUUUGAUAAAAAGUAUGAGGAAAAAACCUUGUAUGGUUUAUAAGACAAAAUAAUAAAAUAAAA